CCCUUAGAUGUCCUGGGCCGCACGCGCGCUACACUGAGUGUCUGAGAUACGAGUCUGCCUGGUCCGGCAAGGUCUAGGUAAUCGCUAAAAGACACAUCAUGCUUGGGAUAGAUUAUUGCAAAUAUUAAUCUUGAACGAGGAAUUCCUAGUAAGCGCAAGUCAACAGCUUGCGUUGAUUACGUCCCUGCCCUUUGUACACACCGCCCGUCGCUACUACUGAUUGGAUGUUUAAGCGAGGUUCACGAACUGCUAGCGACUUAGCUUCGGUGAGGUCGCAGUGUGGGAAGUGAACCUAGCUUUGGUGUCUAGAGGAAGUAAAAGUCGUAACA
rnacentral:rRNA from 1 species